rnacentral:tRNA from 1 species
UUUCAUGUGUCAGAUAAAUGUUUAGAAUUUAAGAUUCUAAUAUAAAUUUUUUUUUAAUUUCUUGAAAA